ACAUGCAAGUCGAGCGAACAGAUAAGGAGCUUGCUCCUUUGACGUUAGCGGCGGACGGGUGAGUAACACGUGGGUAACCUACCUAUAAGACUGGGAUAACUUCGGGAAACCGGAGCUAAUACCGGAUAACAUUUGGAACCGCAUGGUUCUAAAGUGAAAGAUGGUUUUGCUAUCACUUAUAGAUGGACCCGCGCCGUAUUAGCUAGUUGGUAAGGUAACGGCUUACCAAGGCGACGAUACGUAGCCGACCUGAGAGGGUGAUCGGCCACACUGGAACUGAGACACGGUCCAGACUCCUACGGGAGGCAGCAGUAGGGAAUCUUCCGCAAUGGGCGAAAGCCUGACGGAGCAACGCCGCGUGAGUGAUGAAGGGUUUCGGCUCGUAAAACUCUGUUAUUAGGGAAGAACAAAUGUGUAAGUAACUGUGCACAUCUUGACGGUACCUAAUCAGAAAGCCACGGCUAACUACGUGCCAGCAGCCGCGGUAAUACGUAGGUGGCAAGCGUUAUCCGGAAUUAUUGGGCGUAAAGCGCGCGUAGGCGGUUUCUUAAGUCUGAUGUGAAAGCCCACGGCUCAACCGUGGAGGGUCAUUGGAAACUGGGAAACUUGAGUGCAGAAGAGGAAAGUGGAAUUCCAUGUGUAGCGGUGAAAUGCGCAGAGAUAUGGAGGAACACCAGUGGCGAAGGCGACUUUCUGGUCUGUAACUGACGCUGAUGUGCGAAAGCGUGGGGAUCAAACAGGAUUAGAUACCCUGGUAGUCCACGCCGUAAACGAUGAGUGCUAAGUGUUAGGGGGUUUCCGCCCCUUAGUGCUGCAGCUAACGCAUUAAGCACUCCGCCUGGGGAGUACGACCGCAAGGUUGAAACUCAAAGGAAUUGACGGGGACCCGCACAAGCGGUGGAGCAUGUGGUUUAAUUCGAAGCAACGCGAAGAACCUUACCAAAUCUUGACAUCCUUUGAAAACUCUAGAGAUAGAGCCUUCCCCUUCGGGGGACAAAGUGACAGGUGGUGCAUGGUUGUCGUCAGCUCGUGUCGUGAGAUGUUGGGUUAAGUCCCGCAACGAGCGCAACCCUUAAGCUUAGUUGCCAUCAUUAAGUUGGGCACUCUAGGUUGACUGCCGGUGACAAACCGGAGGAAGGUGGGGAUGACGUCAAAUCAUCAUGCCCCUUAUGAUUUGGGCUACACACGUGCUACAAUGGACAAUACAAAGGGCAGCUAAACCGCGAGGUCAUGCAAAUCCCAUAAAGUUGUUCUCAGUUCGGAUUGUAGUCUGCAACUCGACUACAUGAAGCUGGAAUCGCUAGUAAUCGUAGAUCAGCAUGCUACGGUGAAUACGUUCCCGGGUCUUGUACACACCGCCCGUCACACCACGAGAGUUUGUAACACCCGAAGCCGGUGGAGUAACCAUUUAUGGAGCUAGCCGUCGAAG
rnacentral:rRNA from 1 species